GGCUCUGUAGUGAAGUUCAUAUUGAGUUGCAAGCUCAUUGAUGUGCAUUAAAUUAUGCGCCAGGGUCU
rnacentral:tRNA from 2 species